rnacentral:lncRNA from 1 species
UUUCUUUUGGCAAGAAGUUGGUCUUUAUCAUGUGUACUAGUGGAGGGAAACAAUGGCAAGGAAAAUCUAAAAAGAGAAUAAUGCACAAGUCAUUUACAUCUGGUGGCCCUGGAAUGUGUUUUGUUGCUUUAUGUAAUUUGAACAGAGAUGUACCUGCUUGACAUCCCAAAAAGACACUUCGAAUGAAAUAAUAAAGUUUCCUAUAAAGACCUGAAUUACUUGUAUCCAGGAAGCACUUUGCUUAUCUUGCCUAACUUCACUUCUUCCAUCUCCUUUUUCCAAGCAGGAAAUGCAGUGAUUCGCCUAAUCCCAAACCUUCCUGCAAGGAGGCUCUCCAGUUUGUGCCUCCACCUACAUUAGAUUGGAUGCCUCUGCGUUAACGUGCAGCAUAAAUAGAGGAAGUUGAGAUGCUCAAGCCACUGUAAAGAGACUUGAAAAAAGUUUUCUUGCAAGUUACCGGAAUAAUCUACUUGCAGAUAAUUGAGAACAGAUUCUACAAGAAAUAGUUUCUUAUAUCUAGCAUGCAGUUUAGCUGUCUCUGGCUCUGGGAAGUCUCUCCUGGCACACCACACACCCCUCUCCCCCCUUCAAGCCCUGUCACUUCUGAGAUUGGGUUGGCUGCCUGCUAUUUGUACCACACCUCCCGUCCCCAACACCCUGGACUUUGUCCUUCAUGGCAUUUACCACGUGGAAGGCAAAUGCCUGUUUACUAAUCUGUGUCCCAGACCAGACUGAGAGCUCUCUGAAAGCAGGGUCGGCUGAGGUCACUGUUGUAUCCCCAGCUGCUAGAACAGUGCCAGGCUCAUAGAAAACUCUGGCGCUUCUAAAGGGAACUCCACCCAAGCCCAGCUCCAGCAGGAAAUACCAAAAACUGCCCCUCUGUAGUUUGGGUCAUGGCACUCUUGCAUGAAGGAAAGGAGUAACAACUAAACCGGAGAUUUUUACUUCAGUGAUGGUUGAAGCGGCACAUUCCACAAGAUGACCCUGGCCCGCCAUGCCCCCAUUCUGUGCCUAUAAAAACCCCCGAAACCCUAGUGGGUAGAGACACAAGCAGCUGGACGUCAAGAGGAGCACACGGGCAGAACAUACUGGCAGGCUCCAGCAGACCCUGGCAGGCCAUCCACCGGUGGAACAAGGAAGCCAGAGGAAUUUGGCCGGGGUGGUUGGAGUUGAGUCUGGCUACUGAGCAACAGACUCCAGGGAAAACCACCUUCCCACUCUGUCCCCCUUCUGGCUCCCCAUCCAUCUGCUGAGAGCUACUUCCACCAUUCAAUAAAACCCUGCACUCAUUCUCCAUGUAUUUUUGUAUGUAGGAUAAAAUUCAAAACACUUAACUGUGCCCACAUGUGAUGCAAUUUUUCCGAUACACUAAGGCAAGAACCCCAAGACGAAAAGCCCUCUGUCCUUGCAAUAAGGCAGAGUGUCUAAUUGAGCUGAUUAACACAAGCCGCCUACAGAUAGCAAAACUAAAAGAGCACACUGUAACACAUGCCCCACUGGGGCUUCAGGAGCUGUAAACAUUCACCCCCAGACGCUGCCGUGGGGUCAGAGCCCCACAACCUGCUCAUCUGCCUGCUCCCCCUAGAGGUUUGAGCAGCGGGGGGCACUGAAGAAGCGAGUCACAGCCCCAUGGCAUGCUCUGCGAGGGGGACAAGGG